GCGGUUUUAAUUGGAUUCAACGCCGGAAAUCUUACCGGGACCGACAGCAAUAUGAAGGCCAGGCUGAAGACUUUGCCGGAUUAGCUGAGAGGUGGUGCAUGGCCGUCGUCAGUUCGUACUGUGAAGCAUCCUGUUAAGUCAGGCAACGAGCGAGACCCACGCCCACAGUUGCCAGCGUACUCUCCGGAGUGACGGGUACACUGUGGGGACCGCCGCUGCUAAAGCGGAGGAAGGAAUGGGCAACGGUAGGUCAGUAUGCCCCGAAUAUCCCGGGCUACACGCGAGCUACAAUGGUUGGUACAAUGGGUAUCUACCCCGAAAGGGGACGGGAAUCUCCUAAAACCAAUCUUAGUUCGGAUUGAGGGCUGCAACUCGCCCUCAUGAAGCUGGAAUCCGUAGUAAUCGCGUUUCAACAGAACGCGGUGAAUACGUCCCUGCUCCUU
rnacentral:rRNA from 1 species